rnacentral:lncRNA from 1 species
CUGUGUCCCCUGGGCCUUUUGGCAUGCCAGGAAACCCCCUGAUUGAAACACCCAGGCUCGUCUGGGCAAGGCUGAGGAUUCCAUCUCAGCUCUGAUCAGCUGCUGUUCUUCUUUAAGGUUUGAAGAAUAUUUACAGAUGUUAAUGGCUACUUGGCCAGAUCAACUGGACCCAAAGGAGGGCCUCCAUUGACACAACUCUGCCCUGAUGCUUCAGGGGCAGCCCGAGGACAUUAGCCACCUGCAAAAACCACCAGCCGCAGCACACCUGGUGAACUGCAGGAACAGUGAUACCUGACAGCCAGCACUGGUAGAAACACUCUCC